CUACACUAGGGACGCCCUACAGGGCCUGGCAGAGCAACUACAAGCCACUACCCAAAUGACAUUUCAGAACAGAAUGGCCCUAGAUAUGAUUUUAGCUGAGAAAGGGGGUGUAUGUAAAAUCCUCCCUGAGACCAUGACAUGCUGCACAUACAUUCCAGACAACACUGGGCCCAAUGGUAAGGUGACUAUGGCCAUAGAGAAGCUAGAUAGUCUCGCAGACGAACUAAAGAAAAAUUCAGGAGUCAUCGACCCUUGGGACAGAUGGUUUGGAUGGAUGAAUGGUUGGCAAAGGACCCUCUUCCAGGUGGGGACAGCUGUUUUCAUAAUGAUCGUUAUUUUCUUAUUUCUGACCUGUUGCAUAUUCCCCUGCAUACAGAAGUAUUUACAGAAAGCGGUGGAUAAGACUAUAGAUGACGUGACCCCUACUUUCAUACACCAAGACAUCACAGACCUCGAAGAUGAUACUCCACAUACACCCCUUCAAUCACAUCAGUUCAAACAAACAACUGCUUUCCUAUAGGGACAGUAUAGGGAAAGUGUCUGUCUUAACUGGCGAGUCUCACGUGUGGAGAUGUAGUGGACUAGCCACUGCGGGUUACCCGCGGAGUGAAGUGUUCGAUGCUGGUUAAGGCAGAUAGGUUGCAGGCAACUAGGGACAUACUAGGGACAGUAGCAGUUGUUAUGGUAAAUAGCCAUUUUAGGGGGGACUGUUGUGGAAAUAAGGUCUACACAUAUUUCCUAGUUAGUGAAAAAUGUCUAUUUACUCAUUUCACGAUAUAUAUAUAUAUAGCUAAGCACACAUGUUAUAAUCAAGAUGGCUGCUAGAAGCUUCUAGCUCCUUCCCCCUCCCCUCCCUUUCUUCUUCCUAACAUUGAC